rnacentral:lncRNA from 1 species
GGCUAAUGGAGCCCGAGUCUAGUGUGAUUGGUGAUUUACUGUUAUUUGGCCUGUUUUACAGCUUUAAAUGCAAAAUGAGGUUUGAUGUGUUCAUUUUACAGAUUUGUGUGCAUGUACUACGUUUUUAUUAAUUAUGGGUUGAAUGACUGAAAAACUGAUACUGUAUGUUGUCUGUUUGGUAUGAAUUACGAUUUGCUUGUUUAAAUGUGAAUUGAUGAUGCUGAUUGAGGAAAAGGAAAAUGAAAGAUUGUGUAGACUGAUA